AAAUCUUACAGGGCCAGAAUAAAUAUAUGCUUGAAGUGGUUCACCCGUAGUUCCAGAGUAAAAGAUGUCCUUUCCCAAAUAAUUGAAACCAUGUUUUCUGAGUUCUUCGCAAACAUCUUCAACUUUGGAACCACCAAAUGCUGACACCAGCUUUACCGGCAAGCAAUUCUAUUAACUUUCCAACAGUCAUACGAGAUGGGAAACCAUGUGGAUUCAUAAUCAUAUCAGGACAUAUACCAUAAUCGUUAAAUGGCAUAUCUUCUUGUUCCACAAUUAAUCCUAUGUGAACGAUAUAAAUGUAAAAUGACAAUAAAGAAAAUAUAUCCUAUUUUAUGUGAUCAAAAAAAGAAAAAAAGAAAAUAAGAAAGUGAACAAAAGAAAAA